CCCCUCUCAGGGUCACACCUGGAGAGUUUCCAGUACUCUAUGAGUCUUGACAAUGAGAGGGAGAGUCAAGCAGAGGCAUAUCCAUUCCAUUCCUAGCGUGGGCAGUGGCUAGCAAGUGGAAGCAAUCUGCUACAAGU